rnacentral:rRNA from 1 species
GUGCCAGCAGCCGCGGUAAUUCCAGCUCCAAUAGCGUAUAUUAAAGUUGUUGUGGUUAAAAAGCUCGUAGUUGAACCUUGGGCCUGGCUGGCCGGUCCGCCUCACCGCGUGCACUGGUCCGGCCGGGCCUUUCCCUCUGUGGAACCCCAUACCCUUCACUGGGCGUGGCGGGGAAACAGGACAUUUACUUUGAAAAAAUUAGAGUGCUCCAGGCAGGCCUAUGCUCGAAUACAUUAGCAUGGAAUAAUAAAAUAGGACGCGCGGUUCUAUUUUGUUGGUUUAUAGGACCGCCGUAAUGAUUAAUAGGGACAGUCGGGGGCAUCAGUAUUCAACUGUCAGAGGUGAAAUUCUUGGAUCAGUUGAAGACUAACUACUGCGAAAGCAUUUGCCAAGGAUGUUUUCAUUAAUCAGGAACGAAAGUUAGGGGAUCGAAGACGAUCAGAUACCGUCGUAGUCUUAACCAUAAACUAUGCCGACUAGGGAUCGGACGGUGUUAUUCAUGACCCGUUCGGCACCUUACGAGAAAUCAAAGUGCUUGGGCUCCAGGGGGAGUAUGGUCGCAAGGCUGAAACUUAAAGAAAUUGACGGAAGGGCACCACCAGGGGUGGAGCCUGCGGCUUAAUUUGACUCAACACGGGGAAACUCACCAGGUCCAGACACAAUAAGGAUUGACAGAUUGAGAGCUCUUUCUUGAUUUUGUGGUGUGAUGCAUGACCGUUCUUAGUGAUGGGGUGACUGUCUGCUAAUGCGAUAACGAACGAGACCUAACCUGCUAAAUAGCCCGCAUGCUCCGGCAGUGCGCUG